GACCAACCAAAAAAAGGGGGGGCAGCAUUUAUUUUAAACUUCAAACAGGAUUUAUUCAGUUUUUUCUUUUGUUUUCCCUGUGCAUUGUUUUUCCUGCUGAGAGCACAAUGGUAUACCACAUACUCCGCAUUUCCCCCAGUUUCUAUUUAGCCCUUCUAAGAAUUACCCAGGCUGAGACCAGCAGAGAACAUUCGGGCAAGUUCCCCCCUAUAACUCCUGGACUUAACCCCUAAAUGUCCCAGGAGGCUGCAGGUUUAGGAGCUCUGAUCCAGGCUCCCUUGCAACUAACUAGUUGCUUUGCAGAAAAAAAAAAAUGGGCCCUGGGUUGGGCUGCAGCCUCUAUCCCCUCUCUGUGUUCCAGGCAAGGUGCCACGGAGGGGUUAAUCGGGGAUUGCCUUUUCAAAAAUGCAGGCCCCUGUUGGAAGAGUUUCCUGAAGAAUGUGUGAGCAUGAAAUGUUGGCAGCUUUUGAAAAGGUGGGAAGAAAUGCUUUGCUCCUGGAACAAAGUCUGGUGCAGAUGUCUGCUAGGCCCGCAGAGUGACCUGAGAUCACCUGGUUUAGAAUUGUUCUCUGGCUUCAGAUCAUAGGAUAGAGAGCUGGAAGUGAUCUUUAAGCUAUCCAGAAUUCAACUUCUCAUUGUACAGAUGAAGAACCUGAGAUCCAGAGAACUGAAAUGGCUUGUUCGGGGUCACACAGGUAAUUAGCUGCAGAACUUAACAGCCUUUCACAGUGUAUGGUAGACAGAGUUUGGAGUCAAAUGAUUGAAAUUCUGCCACUAUGCUUGCUACCUGGAUAACCUUGAAGAAGCUCUUUAACCUACAUGGCCUUAUUCUCUUGGGUAAAAUGAGGGGGCUUGAAUCAGGUAGAUGGUCUCUGGGGUCAGACUCUGAUCUCAUAGCCCCAGUGUUUUUUCUGAUCCACUUUAUGUAACUCAUCCCAAAUUCUUUCAAGUUUGAGCUAAAUAGAAUUGGCUACACUAGCCCUACAUCUUCUGAAUAUACAACAGCUUGCCUUUGCAGUACGCGAGGGUGCUUUCCUAAAUCAGGGA
rnacentral:lncRNA from 1 species